rnacentral:misc_RNA from 1 species
GAGGAAAAAAAUCUGCCUAGACAAAACAAACUAACAAACAAAAGCCUAUACUAUAAUGGAAGGACUUUGUAAAUCUUUGUUGAAUAUCAAUUAAAUGAGUCCAUCUAAACAAACCAUUCACAGAAAAUCAUCAUGAAGCCAAAAACACUUAUUUUAUCCCAUCAUCAAGUCAAUCAUAAAUGAUGUUACAUGAAAAUUUUCUCACUGGAUGCAAAUGAUACAAUAAUUUAUGCUUUCUUAUUCACCCUAAAACCCUUAAAUUGGAAAAAAAAAACCCAUUAGUCACAAUCUAUACACCUUUAUGUGUCCAUAGAACUUAUUAAAGGUCAAAAAAUUUUAAAUGUCAGAUUUGAAUUUGAUAAUACAAAGUUUU